rnacentral:rRNA from 1 species
UACGUAGGGGGCAAGCGUUGUCCGGAUUUAUUGGGCGUAAAGAGCUCGUAGGCGGUUUGUCGCGUCUGCUGUGAAAACCCGAGGCUCAACCUCGGGCCUGCAGUGGGUACGGGCAGACUAGAGUGCGGUAGGGGAGAUUGGAAUUCCUGGUGUAGCGGUGGAAUGCGCAGAUAUCAGGAGGAACACCAAUGGCGAAGGCAGAUCUCUGGGCCGUAACUGACGCAGAGGAGCGAAAGCGUGGGGAGCGAACAGG